GAUGAACGCUGGCGGCGUGCCUAAUACAUGCAAGUCGAGCGAACAGACGAGGAGCUUGCUCCUCUGACGUUAGCGGCGGACGGGUGAGUAACACGUGGAUAACCUACCUAUAAGACUGGGAUAACUUCGGGAAACCGGAGCUAAUACCGGAUAAUAUAUUGAACCGCAUGGUUCAAUAGUGAAAGACGGUUUUGCUGUCACUUAUAGAUGGAUCCGCGCCGCAUUCGCUAGUUGGUAAGGUAACGGCUUACCAAGGCAACGCUGCGUAGCCGACCUGAGAGGGUGAUGGGCCACCCUGGAACUGAGACACGGUCCAGACUCCUACGGGAGGCAGCAGUAGGGAAUCUUCCGCAAUGGGCGAAAGCCUGACGGGGCAACGCCGCGUGAGUGAUGAAGGACUUCGGAUCGUAAAACUCUGUUAUUAGGGAAGAACAAAAGUGUAAGUAACUAUGCACGUCUUGACGGUACCUAAUCAGAAAGCCACGGCUAACUACGUG
rnacentral:rRNA from 1 species